UCUUUUGAUAUCUAUGUCAUUUCCGUAUUACAUUUUCCAACUUGCAAACAUCAAGCCCUAUAAAAUAACUUAUCGAAAAUAAAGAAAACCACCUUUAAUCAAUUUAUAAUAUAUUUUGAUACGUUAUAACUAGUAUUGAUAUGUAAAACAUAUCAACCAACCACCAAAUACUAAUUAAAAAGACAAGAGAAUCAGAAAACAAUGUGACUCAAUGAAUUUAAGUAGAGGUACUCGGAUGCAUCCAUACUAAUCGAGAUAUGGGGAAUAUAUUUGACCUGCAAGAGCAUAAUGAUGUUAAUGACGCCCCAAGUGUUGAGGUGACCAGUAUGACCGUUAUGCAAGUAGUAUCGUGUAAUGGUAAAACGUCUAUCAAUGCUGUCUGUGUUCAGCAGGUUACUACCCCUUCCAGCGG